UAACUUGUAUACUACCUUAUAUGUAGUGCAGUCUGUACUGCAGUGCUGACCCUUCAGGAAAUAGUCUGACACCUUAUGAGUGAUGGAUAACAUCUAUGCCAAUGUUGAAUAUGAUAAGCCUGUUAACCCAAGACCUUCGACAAAUCAGACAGGUCCCAGGAGCUCCGGGAGGAGAUUUCAUGGAGCUGUUGUUCUGGGUCUGGGGCUGCUGAGUGUUUUCCUGCUGGCUGGGAUCAUCGGCCUCGGUGUCCACUCGCCACUAUCAAGGCCAACCUGACUGAGCGUCUCCAGGCCAGUGAGGACAAGUCUUCUUCCCUGACUGAAGAGAGAGACCAGCUGAACUCCAGGCUCACUGAAAUGGCUAAAGAGUUGGACAGGCUUCAACAGAAGAAACCGUGUCCAGCUGAAUGGAGGACGUUCUGUUCUUCCUGUUAUCUCCUCUCUGCUGAGACUGGUUCCUGGAAAGGCAG